UCUAAAAAAACAGAUUAUAGCUACAGUAUUACUGGCCGUGCCCAAAGAUUAAAGAAUAGAAAUUUAAUUACGCGAAGAUCUGUGCCCCCCUGCUGGAACCGCCGACGGUAUCGCAUGCUGUGCAGCUUCUUCCAAGUGGGAGUGCUGCCUAGCCAGUUGUUCGACCAUUUUCUCUAUCCGCACCUUCUGAUCACGUUCGUGCUGCAGCAUUUUCUUCCAUUUGGGCUCCUGCUGCUGUGCUAGUUGCAAAUACUCAUUGCUACUCUGAAAUCACAAUUUAUCCUAUUUUCCACGCGAUUGUUACACCAUCACUAUUAAUCCAUGAGAGAUUAGUAAACACUGGAAUGUUAUUUGUUAAACCAGAUAAUAAACAACUGAUUAUGUCAUGUCAUGCGUAUGGUAUUUACUUGUGAAUGGAGCAUGCUACUUAAUUUUCUGCUUGUAAAAACCCAGACAAAUUCAAUUAAAUUAAGCUCUUUUAUCACCAUACAAUUGUUUGAACAUGGAAAUAGUAUUUAUUACGAUUGCUAUGCUAUUAUAGCAAAUUAGUAGGAUUGCUAGGCUGCACCAUGACCAUCUUUACACAUCAAAGGUUUAGAAACAAACUGCAAACAUGUGUAUCUGUAUAUUAAUGUUAACGAGAGUCUUUCAACUUACAUUAACCAUAGCAUUGGCUGCAAUACGAAACAGCGCGGCUCGUUCGUUGACUGUCUUUAUUUUCGCUGACAAUUCCGGUGACGGAGGUUCAAUCGCUUCGAGGUCAUUCAAGGACCGUUGAAGCAUCGUGCCUCUCUUGUUAAUCAAAUCGUAACAGGAUUGUAACUCCUCUAAUCGUUGGGACAGGUCCUUUAUCACAGACACGUUUUCUGGCUUUUGACUAUCGUUGUCCUGGAAUUCCUCCUCCUCUUCUUCUGAAACAAAUCACAAUCUACAUAAUAUUGCUAUCUAAAAAUCUCGUAUACCAUUGCGUCUUGUCAAGAAUAUCGAUGUGUUACAUGCUAGUUAAAAUAGGAAUCUCUUGAGAUUGAAGAAAGAUCUAUCAUUCCUUGCAUCACUACAAGGAAUUGUAUACUGCAACUUAAACAAUGAAAGUCAUCCUAAAUAUGACUGAAUGCAUUUCAACAAAAACUAUAUUUGUUUUGAGUCACGACUCAUAGGUCGAAAUUGAUAACGUGCGAUCGAUCGAACUUGGACGUCUUUGAGUCACAUAAAUAAAUUAAAAUAUUCACAGCAAAACUCGAGCGAUAUAAGGAAAAAAUAUUGCUUAAUGUAUUACACAUGGGCAGAAAAAGAUAACCAUAAGCGUAAUAGUAUUCACGGCAAUCUACAUUCCCUUUCCUGCUAUCUCGGUUUCCGUUUAUCUUAUCAGUUACUGAAGUCUUAUGAAACAAUAGAGUGUCACACGGUAUUUUACUUCAUUGUUGUGAAGACAAGUCUCCUAUGAAGUUGAGAUCACUACUGCAGUAAUGGGAGAAACGCGAAUUGGAUAUAGUGAUCUUUGUUUCCUGAAGGAUGCUGACGUAACUCCGCCGUGUGUUUUUGCUAAAGCUGUUGCAGUUAACACACUUUUUGAAAUACAUAUAUAGCAUUGCAGUUGACUUUAUCAGGGGGUUCUGGAACUCAGUUGUACUUGCGGACACCCAGUGACCUCAACAAACGACAUGGGUGAUUAGCAUCAAUGAAUAGGAAUGGAAGAAAGAAUUAUUUUCUCAUACAGACCGGAUUCCAUCGCCUGGAUGGCCUUGGCCUUCGCCAACUCAAGGGCCGUGACCCACUGUUGACGUUCCACCUCUGUUGACGCCUUGAUAUGGAAGGUUUGCGUGCCGCCAUUGCUCACAACGAACGUACAAGCGUCUACGGUGUGUAUUAAGGCCCCGUGCAAAGAUAUUGUGCCGCGGCACGUGUGCGACAUCUCGGCCGGACUUCUAAACAGAGAAAAGGAAACGCGAACAGUUCCGUGGACAGAUCCUUCGACCGAUGGGAAACCGUAUGACACAGAGAAAGACAGACGUGAGUUUGCAAUAGGUAAAAAAUGCUUGCUUGCUCUGCAUCAACAAACCGAAGGUUUAUCCAAGCCAGAGGAAAUGCUUCCGAUUCGUCAUAAGAAACACACAUGUGUGUUACAAAUGAAAGAGAGCAAUUAGUACGAUCACUCGUUUCGUCACACCAUAGUUUCCCAACGCCUUACUUCGGAAAAUUUCUGUGUAACGUUCGAGUUUUAAAAUAACCAAUAUCUAAAAUUUGGCGUUGGAAAACUAUGCGUCACAUACAUUUUGCUACAAGGAAAUAUGCUCCAUUGGCUGUUCAACUUAACGCCUUCUCGACGGAUGACGCAUCUUAGCGUCAAAUGGUUUUUUAAAUAGUAGGACGCUAUUUUAGGUGCUCUAGUCUUAUACGCCUAAUGGUUACUCUAUCUUCAUAUUUGGUGGAAGUAUUCCAAUUUACAUUGCACGAACAGAUUUAAACCGAACGUUAAAUUGAACGGACAAUAUUAUGGCUGCGAUCCCAAUUUACCGAAGAUUUGAUAGAAUCAGCGAACGAAGAAUACUUUCACCGUAACAACCGUAGAGGGUGUACGUGAAUUGCGGGUACGGUAAUAAACGAAUCGUAAAUACCCGCAGAGUAUGCACCCAUAAUUCGUCUGCAUCUAGAGCACCGAAUAACCACAAAAUAAGUUGGCGACAGUUUACGUUAGACACUAACAAUAUAAUGAAUGUAUGUAUAUGUAUGCAUGUAUAUUAGAACGCAGGAAACAAGAAUGCCAAUAUUAGCAGAAUCAGUUAUAUGUACUGUUUUUAAGCAGUUCCAUUACCAUUAUUGUUCGACACGCCACCAGUUCUUUAUGCAAAAUUAUCAGAAACAACCAAAAUAUAACCUGAUGGAAAAGAAAUCUCAGAUAAAGGGGUGAAAGGGCGAUGAGGUGAGAUUUGCCCGAUAAUUUAGAGAGAGGGGAGCAGUGUGUCGGUUCAAGGUCGAGCGGUUCAGCCGAUCAUUCUGAAACGAUGCGUUCAGAAAUUAUUAUUAUUAUUGCAUAUUAUAAAAAUAAUAACAAUUUUUCGGCUAGAAAAAUUACGAUUCAAACGAUCCUCGACCGUUCCUUAUCGGAUUUCCAUUAAUGACCAAAUGUGUGUACGUGUGCACGUGUGUACAAUUAGAGCGAAGCUCAACAAAAUCAUAUGGUUUUUUGCAAAACUUUUUAACACUGGAACCACCGGUGUAGAUGUAAUUAUAAAGUAUUGAAAAAUUUCUAUAUACUAGUAUAAGUUAAUUAAUUUUGGUGAUCUCGUACAUCGGUAGUUCUAACGUUUUUGCGAGACAUGGAGUUACGAAUGCGAAACAUAAUAACAGACGUAAAGCUUUGAUCUUGUUUACUUAAUUGUUAAUCGAUCGACAAAAAUAUCGGUGCGUGCGUCGCGAGAACGCGGCCGGACGGGAACGAAGGUUCAUUUACAACAGAUUAUCACAACAUAAAUUGGUAACGAAUUGAAUUAUCGUGCGACAAUUGUGUCGUGCGUAUCAACGAAGGUCUAAUACGGCGACUCUACUGCCCGUGUAAAGAAAGGCGAGUUAAUUCGUUGUUGGUUAAUAGGUUCAAGCCUGAAACGACCGGCGAUAGAACAGACAUGUCGUUUCAUUCUUAGUAAAGCAGCAACAGAAAUAUCGAUAUCGACGAACUGCCUAUGCAUAUUGCAAUUAUAUCUUGGAUCGUAUCCAACGGGUCAGUAAAAGUUCUACGUCCAGAAGACCUUCAGAUUUGCGCGCUGGUAUAGACGUAGACCACAGAACCACAAAAAUGUACAAUCUUAGUUAUAUCCCUUCCUUCUCAUUGCACGCGCGCUUAACAAAUUCUUAAUUAUAAAGUAUAUGAGAUUAAAAGUUUGAUGGAAAGGCUGGAAGGGGGCUCAUUUUGAAAUAAUAAAAUGUCGAAGAAGGUGAAGGGGGGGGGGUAAUUAACAAAUAAUUAGGAACGCUAACGGUAUACCGUAUUAUUAAGAUGGCGCUAAUAUGUAUAUGUAUAGGUAAAUGUAAAACGGUAGGCAACUCCAACAUCGUCUUUGUCUGCUUGAUUAACGAGUUCGAUUCAAAGAAGAGUCAGAAUAUUUCAGCUUUUCUUCGAUUUAAUUUUACUUACUCGGAGGCUCUGCCAGCCUUCCGCUUGCGUCGUGUUGAUAUCUUUGGCCCCCCUGUUGGUUCAGCCCUAAACAGUCCAUAAAACAAAUAGUCCCCGUUCACAUGUUGUAACACUGAAGUAAAACGAUAUUUCUUUCAAAGUAUCAAAAGUUUCUCUCUCUCUCUCUCUCUCUCUUUCUCUCUCUCUCGUUCGUUCACUCUUACACAUUUAAUCCUAGACGAGUUCUCCUAAUGUCAUAAUCAAAUGUACAAUAUUAUUCUCGAUCUUAUUCGAUUGUUGCUUCAGCGCGCUCUACAGAGUACCGCAGCAACUGUGCUGCAACCGAAAAAUGAAAGAUUCUACCUGCUCUUUUGAUGUUCAUUGCUGGAAGAACACCUCGUACAUUUAUCUCUCCUUUAAUCUUUUAUAAGUAUAAAACGGUGCAAUAUCACCGUGUAUGUGCGUCAACGAUACGCAAUUUUGUGCUGGAAGCGUUUGAUAUUUUUAAUUGAAGUUGUGUGAAAAUAUAAUAUCAAGAAUUGAGAAGGCGUUCAAUCUUCUUUUCUGUAUAUACCUUUUUUCGGUCUGUUCUGUUUCGAUCGCAAUAUUGAAAAAGCAUUGCAAACUCAAAUCAUAAAACUGUGCCAAGCGGAAAGUCAACAGAAAGAUCAACGGCGAUUGUAUAUUGUGUAAGGGAGCGCGGUUAUUCUAAAUAUAAUGUAAACGGAACGGAAUUUCCUCGGAUGUGCGUAACGUGAUGAUCGCCAGAGAGGGGGCAUCGUUUUUACCUAUGAUUUCUUGAAAUUAGUCGCACGAGAAGAAUGGUUUUGAUCACUUCGAAAUUGCAUAAACCUGCGCAGCCUGGCUCUGCGUAAUCAAAGCAAGACCCCGCGUCGUGUUCGAAAAGUAUAAAAGACAAAUAUGCAAUAAAUCUUCUCUGAUGCGUGCGACGAACGUAAGUACUAUAUGCAAAAAAUAUGUGAUCCAUGAUGAAUGAUUUGUGUGUGUCCAGACGAUUUAACUCGAUAUUUUAAGGUAUAAAUGAUCCAGAAUUAUCGUAUUUCGCGUUCUACGAUACGUACGUGCUGAAUUGUUCGCAAUUUAAAUUGGUUACUUAAAUGUAAUUCUCAAACAAUACUGUGAUUAAUAGACUGCGGAUUUUGUGCAUUUACACUCAAAGCCGUAAUAAAAUAAAACAUUCGAUCACAUUUGGUAUACAGUUUUCACAAAUAAAUUUCAAUGACCGCGUUUAUAAACGAGCUAAAUUAUCAUUCAACAUAAAAUUCCGCAAGUCUAAUGAUCAGACUUGACUAAGAAUACUUGGAUAAACCAUAUCGAUAAUAAUAUCUGUGAUUGAUCCUGCGCUGACUACUUAUGCGCAUGCAACUUUGUACCUUUGAACAUUUAGUAUGGUACCUUAUUUGUUGUACAAUAUAAACCACUGGAGUCAUGAAUGAUUAGACUAUGAAUACCGCUACGAACAUAAAUUUUGAUCGACCUAU